rnacentral:rRNA from 1 species
UGCAGUCGGACGGGAUUGAGGAGCUUGCUUCUCAUGAGAGUGGCGCACGGGUGCGUAACACGUAUGUAACCUACCUUGUUCAGGGGGAUAGCCUCUCGAAAGAGAGAUUAACACCGCAUAAAAUCAAUUUAUGGCAUCAUAGAAUGAUCAAAUAUUUAUAGGAACAAGAUGGGCAUGCGGAACAUUAGCUAGUUGGUAAGGUAACGGCUUACCAAGGCUACGAUGUUUAGGGGAUCUGAGAGGAUGACCCCCCACACUGGUACUGAGACACGGACCAGACUCCUACGGGAGGCAGCAGUAAGGAAUAUUGGUCAAUGGACGCAAGUCUGAACCAGCCAUGCCGCGUGCAGGAAGACGGCCCUACGGGUUGUAAACUGCUUUUGUACCGGAAUAAACCUUUUCACGUGUGAGAAGCUGAAUGUACGGUAAGAAUAAGGAUCGGCUAACUCCGUGCCAGCAGCCGCGGUAAUACGGAGGAUCCAAGCGUUAUCCGGAUUUAUUGGGUUUAAAGGGUGCGUAGGUGGCCUAUUAAGUCAGGGGUGAAAGACGGUAGCUUAACUAUCGCAGUGCCUUUGAUACUGAUGGGCUUGAAUACACUUGAGGUAGGCGGAAUGUGACAAGUAGCGGUGAAAUGCAUAGAUAUGUCACAGAACACCAAUUGCGAAGGCAGCUUACUAAAGUGUUAUUGACACUGAGGCACGAAAGCGUGGGGAUCAAACAGGAUUAGAUACCCUGGUAGUCCACGCCCUAAACGAUGAAUACUCGAUGUUGGCGAUAUACGGUCAGCGUCUAAGCGAAAGCGUUAAGUAUUCCACCUGGGGAGUACGCCCGCAAGGGUGAAACUCAAAGGAAUUGACGGGGG